rnacentral:rRNA from 1 species
UAGUAACGGCGAGUGAAGCGGCAACAGCUCAAAUUUGAAAUCUGGCUUCGGCCCGAGUUGUAAUUUGCAGAGGAAGCUUUAGGCGCGGCACCUUCUGAGUCCCCUGGAACGGGGCGCCAUAGAGGGUGAGAGCCCCGUAUAGUUGGAUGCCUAGCCUGUGUAAAGCUCCUUCGACGAGUCGAGUAGUUUGGGAAUGCUGCUCAAAAUGGGAGGUAAAUUUCUUCUAAAGCUAAAUACCGGCCAGAGACCGAUAGCGCACAAGUAGAGUGAUCGAAAGAUGAAAAGCACUUUGAAAAGAGGGUUAAAUAGCACGUGAAAUUGUUGAAAGGGAAGCGCUUGUGACCAGACUUGCGCCGGGCUGAUCAUCCGGUGUUCUCACCGGUGCACUCUGCCCGGCUCAGGCCAGCAUCGGUUCUCGCGGGGGGAUAAAGGCCCGGGGAAUGUAGCUCCUCCGGGAGUGUUAUAGCCCUGGGUGUAAUACCCUCGCGGGGACCGAGGUUCGCGCAUCU